GAGGGCCUGCUGGGGCCAUGGCAUGGGCACCAUUGUGGGCUUGGAUUCUGGCCAGGGCAGGGAGGACCGUCCACUGGGGAGAGACACCAGCCCCUGCCUCCACUCUGUCUGGGGACACAACCCAUCCAUGGCCUGACCUGCUUACCUACUAUGUGCCAGCUACCCUGGGAAGCCUCUGGUCUAAGGAACAAACACAGAGCAGGGAAGUGGACGUAUGGACGGACCAAGGCUCUGCGAUGCUCAGUACUGAGAGAAGCACCAGCACCACUUGGUGGCACACAAAGAUGGAGAGAAGAAUUCCGCCCAGGAAGGUUUCAGGGAGGGAGGGGGCUUUGGGACUGGCCUUGAAGCCAGAGUGGGGACUGUGAGGGAGGCCACUUUUUGCUUAGGGAAAAGCAAGAAUGUUGCCCCACUGCCCUCACCUGCCCACCCCUCAACAAGACUGUGGCUUUCUCAGGAGCAGAGACUUUGUCUUCCACCAUGUGGUUAAGUCCUGGGCUAAGUCAAAGCCUUCACAACCAUUAUACAGGUGGGAAGCCUGAGGCUCAGGCAGAAGUGGUCAGGUUAGAGCUCAAACUCAAGCGCUGGGACUCCAGUGCCUUGAAGUGUGGGGCCCUGAGGAUACCAGAGCAGCACCAAGGCAUUCACUUGAGCCCUGAGUGAAGAACUGUCCUCCCCAGAAUGGGUGGGGACAAAUGACAGCCACUGACCCCCUACUGUGCAUCAGCUGCUCCUCAAAGAACCCCGAGAAAGCAUUUAGCCCCACGUUACAGAUGAAGAAACUGAGGCCCCACAACUAGUACAGCGUGAGGCUAGGAUCUGCCGGUCUCUGUAGCUCAGGGACAUGAACGCUGCCCUUUCUGCCCCCGGCUGCAGGCACACCCCUUUUACAGAGAAAAUGCAAAGCACCUGGGCUCCCUUCUUCAGUCGCUGAGACCCAGAACUGCCCAGUUCCAGGCUCUUAACAUGUCAUUGUGAGUGCAGAAACACUUUUGUUGAGGUGAAAAACAGAAAGUUCCCAAA
rnacentral:lncRNA from 10 species